UGCAGUGAGGGAGAGAGGGAGAGACCACCCCUCCUUCCCAUCCCCAGCUCCAGGACUGCUGCGGCGGGGGAGAGAUGGCACGUCCAUCGCAUUAGAAAGAUAAGACUAUUAAUAUUAAAA